GGGGUCUCGGGGGGGGGGAAUGGGGGUCUUGGGGGGGAAAUGGGGGUCUGGGGGGGGGAACCCCCGAUGUCCCCAAAGAUCCCUGAGUGCCUCCACGGCCCCCCAGAAUCCCCCCAGGACCCCCAAUUCCCCCCCAUUGCACACUGGGAUCCCCUCCCCUCCCCACCCCCCCUUAAAGGGCCCGCGCCCCUCUGGUGGGGGGGACGUGGGAAAGCCCUUAAAGGGCCCGCGCCCCGCGGUGGCACGUGGAGGGGGGACACGCUUCUCCAAAAGGCUCCGCUGACAUCACGCGGGGGCGGCCCACCCGUGACGUCACCCGGGGGAACCCGGCUGUCCCCGCACCCCCUAACCCCGCCCCCCCCAAUGUCGCCGUCACUGCGGUGUCACCUCCCCCCCGCUAUAACGGCCCCCGGGGCCACACCGGCCCCAUUUGCAACUCGCGACGGAGACAUGCGGCCCCACAGAGGUGGGCGCGCGCCGCCGCCCCCCCCCCGCACGGUGAAGGAACUCCUGGAGGGGAUGCGGGGCGGGCGGGGGGCGCGGGGGCGGAGCCACGGGGACAGCGGCG
ensembl:lncRNA